rnacentral:rRNA from 1 species
CAAGGAAUUUUCGGCAAUGGGCGCAAGCCUGACCGAGCAACGCCGCGUGCGGGAUGACGGCCUUCGGGUUGUAAACCGCUUUUGGGGGGAGUGACAUCGACCGUACCCCCCGAAUCAGCCCCGGCUCACUCUGUGCCAGCAGCCGCGGUAAGACAGAGGGGGCAAGCGUUGUCCGGAUUGACUGGGCGUAAAGCGCACGUAGGUGGUACGGCGCGUGGGGUGUGAAAUUGGCCGGCUUAACCGGUCGCCGCCAUCCCAAACGGCCGCACUCGAGGCAGACAGAGGUUGGUGGAAUUGCCGGUGUAGUGGUGAAAUGCGUAGAGAUCGGCAGGAACACCAAGGGGGAAGCCAGCCAACUGGGUCUGUCCUGACACUGAGGUGCGACAGCGUGGGGAGCGAACUGGAUUAGAUACCCAGGUAGUCCACGCCGUAAACGAUGGACGCUCGAGUGGCGGGGGUUAUCCAUACCCCUGGCGCUCUCAGCUAACGCGGAAGCGUCCCGCCUGGGAACUACGAGCGCAAGC